GACUCUGAGCAGUGGAUCAUUUGGUUAGUGCACUGAUGAAGAAUGCAGCUAGCUGUGAGUACUAAUGUAAAUUGCAGGACCCAUUGAUCAUUGACACUUUGAACGCACAUUGCAGCUCCGUGUUACUUCCAGAGCUAUGCAUGUCUGAGGGUCA